GUCCAAUGCUCUGCCAACUGAGCUACGAGGCCAACGUCAGUUCGAGUGUGUGGUAUUUCGGAACUACGUCUAGUACCUUCGAUACCAAUAACCAAUGUGUUCUAAUCUAUGAUCAUGAUUUUAGUAUUAUAUUACGUUAUAUUCACCUGAGUACAUAACACACUGAGCUAUACUACAUAACAUCAAAACACACGGCAAAAAUACUUCAUGUCUGCCUAUUAUUGUGUCCCGG